UACGUAGGGUGCGAGCGUUGUCCGGAAUUACUGGGCGUAAAGAGCUCGUAGGUGGUUUGUCGCGUUGUCCGUGAAAACUCACAACUCAAUUGUGGGCGUGCGGGCGAUACGGGCAGACUAGAGUACUGCAGGGGAGACUGGAAUUCCUGGUGUAGCGGUGGAAUGCGCAGAUAUCAGGAGGAACACCGGUGGCGAAGGCGGGUCUCUGGGCAGUAACUGACGCUGAGGAGCGAAAGCGUGGGGAGCGAACAGG
rnacentral:rRNA from 1 species